ACAGCAAGGUACUGGUAUAAAAAUAGGCACAUAGACCAAUGGAAUAGUAUAGAGAACCAAGAAGUAAAGCGAAAUACUUACAGCCAACUGAUCUUCAAAAAACCGAACAAAAACAUGCAGUGAGGAAAGGACACCCUAUUCAACAAAUGGUGCUGGGAUAACUGGCAAGCCACAUGUAGAAGAAUGAAACUGAAUCCUCACCUCUCCCCUUAUAAAAAAAUCAAUCCACGAUGGACCAAAGACUUAAAUCUAAGACCUGACACCAUAAAGCUUCUACAAGAUGACAUCAGAAAAAACCCUUCUGUCACUGAACUCACCUGCAGCUCUCAGGGUUUCUAUGUCUUUCUUUGUAGUUGGAGCCAGGUCUACACACCAGCAGCCAUGUCGAAGGGACCUGCAGUUGAUAUUGAUAUUGGCACCACCUACUGUUGUGUGGGUGUUUUCCAGCACAGAAAAGUAGAGAUAAUUGCCAAUGAUCAGGGAAAUGGAACCACUCCAAGCUAUGUCGCCUUUACAGACACGGAAUGAUUGAUCCGUGAUGCCACAAGAAUCAAGUUGCAAUGAACCCCACCAACAUGGUUUUUGAUGCCAAACAUCUUAUUGGAUGCAGAUUUGAUGAUGCUGUUAUCCAGUCUGAUAUGAAGCAUUGGCCCCUCUUGUCGGUGAAUGAUGCUGGCGGGCCCAAGGUCCAAGUGGAAUACAAGGGAGAGACCAAAAGCUUCUACCCAGAGAAGGUGCCCUCUAUGAUUCCGAUAAAGAUGAAGGAAAUUGCAGAAGCAUACCUCGGCAAUAUUGUUAACAAUGCUGUGGUCACAGUGCCAGCUUACUUUAAUGACUCUCAGCAUCAGGUUACCAAAGAUGCUGGAACUAUUGCUGGUCUCAAUGUACUUAGAAUUAUCAAUGAGCCAACUGUUGCUGCUAUUGCUUAUGGCUUAGACAAAAAGGUUGGAGCUGAAAAAAACAUGCUGAUCUUUGACCUGAGAGGUGGCUCUUUUGAUGUGUCAAUCCUCACUAUUGAGGAUGGAAUCUCUAAGGUCAAAUCUACAGCCAGAGGCCGGGCGCGAAACACCCACUUGGGUGGAGAAAACUUUGACAACUGAAUGUCAACCAUUUGAUUGCUGAGUUCAAGUGCAAGCAUAAGAAGAACAUCAGUGAGAACAAGAGAGCUGUAAGAUCCCUCCACACUGCUUGUGAACAUGCUAAGCAUAUUCUCUCUUCCAGCACCCAGGCCAGUAUUGAGAUUGAUUCUCUCUGUGAAGGAAUCGACUUCUAUACGUCCAGUGCCCAUGCCCAAUUUGAAGAAUUGAAUACUGACCUGUUCCAUAGCACCCUAGACCCCACAGAGAAAGCCCUUCAAGAUGCCAAACUGGACAAGUCACGGAUUCAUGAUAUUGUCCUGUUUGGUGGUUCUACUCAUAUCCCCAAGAUUCAGAAGCUUCUCCAAGGCUUCACAAUGGAAAAGAACCAAAUAAGAGCAUCAAUCCUGAUGAAGUUCUUGCUUAUGGUGCAGCUGUCCAGGUAGCCAUCCUAUCUGGAGACAAGUCUGAAAAUGUCCAAGAUUUGGUGCUCUUAGAUGUCUCUCUUCUUUCCCUUGGUAUUGGAACUGCUGGUGGAGUCAUCACUGUCCUCAUCAAGCGUAAUACUGCCAUUCCUACCAAGCAGACACAGACCUUCACUACCUAUUCUGACAACCAGCCUGGUGUGCUUAUUCAGGUUUAUGAAGGUGAGCGUGCCAUGACCAAGGAUAACAACCUGCUUGGCAAGUGUGAACUCACAGGCAUACUUCCUGCACCCUGUGAUGUUCCUCAGAUUGAAGUCACUUUUGACAUUGAUGCCAAUGGCAUCCUCAAUGUCUCUGCUGUGGACAAGAGUACAGGAAAAGAGAACAAGAUUACUAUCACUAAUGACAACGGCCGUUCAAGCAAGGAAGACAUUGAAUGUAUGGUCCAGGAAGCUGAGAAGUACAAAGCUGAAGAUGAGAAGCAGAGGGAUGAAGUAUCAUCUAAGAAUUCACUUGAGUCAUAUGUAUUCAACGUGAAAGCAACUGUCGAAGAUGAGAAACUUCAAGGCAAGAUUAAUGAUGAAGACAAACAGAAGAUUCUGGACAAGUGUAAUAAAAUUAUCAACUGGCUCGAUAAGAAUCAGACUGCCGAGAAGGAAGAAUUUGAACUUCAGCAGAAAGAGCUGGAGAAAGUCCGCAACUCCAUCAUUACCAAGUGUACUGGAGUGCAGGAGGCAUGCCAGGAGGAAUGCCUGGGGGACUACCUGGUGGUGGAGCUCCUCCCUCUGAUGGUGCUUCCUCAGGGCCCACCAUUGAAGAGGUUGAUUAAGCUAAGUAUAGAUGUAGCAUUGUUCUACACAUUUUAAAACAUUGAAGGACCUAAAUUUGUAGCAAAUUCUGUGGCAGUUUUUAAAAGUCUAGCUACUAUAGUAAGUUACUGGGCAUUCUCAAUACUUGAAUAUGGAACAUAUGCACAGGGGAAGGAAAUAACAUUGCACUUUAUAAAUACUGUAUUUUAACCAG